CAUGGCAAUGAACAGAAUAACACUCAUGGGACAAAGACAACAACAGAAGCUGCUGAAAGCCUUGGAGAAACUUGAAGCAUCACCCAGCAACAACAUAUCUCAGAGUGUCAAAACAGAUUCUAACAAGCAGCCGAGACACCAGUCUUCAAUCGAGGUCACUCCUGCGUUGUAUGUUACCAUGGAGAUCCUGUCAAACUGGG